rnacentral:rRNA from 1 species
UGGGGAAUUUUGGACAAUGGGGGCAACCCUGAUCCAGCCAUCCCGCGUGUGCGAUGAAGGCCUUCGGGUUGUAAAGCACUUUUGGCAGGGAAGAAACAGCUUGGGAUAAUACCCCGGGCGACUGACGGUACCUGCAGAAUAAGCACCGGCUAACUACGUGCCAGCAGCCGCGGUAAUACGUAGGGUGCAAGCGUUAAUCGGAAUUACUGGGCGUAAAGCGUGCGCAGGCGGUUCGGAAAGAAAGGUGUGAAAUCCCAGGGCUUAACCUUGGAACUGCACUUUUAACUACCGAGCUAGAGUACGUCAGAGGGGGGUAGAAUUCCACGUGUAGCAGUGAAAUGCGUAGAGAUGUGGAGGAAUACCGAUGGCGAAGGCAGCCCCCUGGGAUGAUACUGACGCUCAUGCACGAAAGCGUGGGGAGCAAACAGGAUUAGAUACCCUGGUAGUCCACGCCCUAAACGAUGUCAACUAGCUGUUGGGGUUUAUUAACCUUAGUAGCGCAGCUAACGCGUGAAGUUGACCGCCUGGGGAGUACGGUCGCAAGAUUAAAAC